UACGAGGGGGGCAAGCGUUGUUCGGAUUUAUUGGGCGUAAAGGGUGCGUAGGCGGUUUGGCAAGUCUUAUGUGAAAUCUUCGGGCUCAACCCGAAGCCUGCAUAAGAAACUGCCGGGCUUGAGUAUGGUAGAGGUGAGUGGAAUUUCCGGUGUAGCGGUGAAAUGCGUAGAUAUCGGAAAGAACACCUGUGGCGAAAGCGGCUCACUGGACCAUAACUGACGCUGAGGCACGAAAGCUAGGGGAGCAAACAGG
rnacentral:rRNA from 1 species